rnacentral:rRNA from 1 species
UACGUAGGUGGCGAGCGUUGUCCGGAUUUACUGGGCGUAAAGAGCGCGCAGGCGGCUGGUCAAGUCCGAUGUGAAAGCUCCCGGCUUAACUGGGAAAUUGCAUCGGAAACUGAUCGGCUGGAAGGUGGGAGAGGGUAGCGGAAUUCCCGGUGUAGUGGUGAAAUGCGUAGAUAUCGGGAGGAACACCAGUGGCGAAAGCGGCUACCUGGCCCAUUCUUGACGCUGAGGCGCG